AUUGAACGCUGGCGGCAUGCCUUACACAUGCAAGUCGAACGGUAACGGGCCUUCGGGUGCCGACGAGUGGCGAACGGGUGAGUAAUACAUCGGAACGUGCCCGAUCGUGGGGGAUAACGAGGCGAAAGCUUUGCUAAUACCGCAUACGAUCUACGGAUGACAGCAGGGGACCGCAAGGCCUUGCGCGGACGGAGCGGCCGAUGGCAGAUUAGGUAGUUGGUGGGAUAAAAGCUUACCAAGCCGACGAUCUGUAGCUGGUCUGAGAGGAUGAUCAGCCACACUGGAACUGAGACACGGCCCAGACUCCUACGGGAGGCAGCAGUGGGGAAUUUUGGACAAUGGGCGCAAGCCUGAUCCAGCCAUGCCGCGUGCAGGAUGAAGGCCUUCGGGUUGUAAACUGCUUUUGUACGGAACGAAAAGCCUUCUUUUAAUACAGGAGGGUCAUGACGGUACCGGAAGAAUAAGCACCGGCUAACUACGUG
rnacentral:rRNA from 1 species